GCGAGGCUGAGCCCCCCUCCCCGGGUGUGUCCGCUCCUCACGGGCGAUUUGCGACCCUCCCCCCCAAGGGCCGCCUGCCCCUCUGUGGGGAGCGGAACUGGCCCGCUCUGGGGACGGGGACUCCGCACUCCCGGCCCCCCCGUGGCUGUGGGACGGGCUUGCCUCAGCGCCAGGCGGGGUAAAGCCGCCCCCACAAAGGAGAAGUCCAGGAAAGCCAGACAUACCAAGGUCCUGCAGAACUGCUGAUUAAGAGGUACAAGGAGUGGGAAAGGAAUGCUGCAGAGCUGAUUCUCUACUACCUGGAUGAGCUGGGAACAUAAAGAUGGGUAUUUAUUUCAUACUCAUCACUGUGGGCGUUGGGGAAAACAGGCUUUUUCGGUGCAUUACAAAAUCACGUCAUAAAUGUCAUGCCACCACAAAGACCAAUGCUUGGGAGCUCCUUCUCCUUUUAUGGGGUACUUCUACAUCUGGUCUUCCGCAAAUCACACCUCCCAUUUCUCAAAUUGCAGCCUCUACAACUUUGAGUUCGGAAGAGAUAUUAAAAAAAUCUCCCAAAAUCUAGGAUGCAAGACUCUUCUCAUCAAGUCAGAAUCCAGCACAAGUGAGAUAAAACCAGGAGACUUUUCGCAUUUUUCACUUCACAGACUGUGAGUUUAGUAACAUGAGAAAUCCCAGCUGCAUAAGUAUCCUGUGCUACCUUCCCUCCAGGCUUUACUGACAACUGAUCUCAAUCCUGACAUCAGACAUUGCUCUGCGGUCCCAGACCUGGACCUGAUGUAACUGAGACUAAUAUUCACUCACAGCUAUGUUGUGGUCUGAUUGAUCUUGGGAAUGGAUACUAGGAUGAAGCUGCAUUUUACAAGUAACCUCGGACAGAAACUGACUUGGGGACUUCAGAGAUGACAGGCUAGUGCACUAACACAUCUGGUUAACCUAGAACCAUCCUUCUAUUUGCUACUGCUGAAAGAACAGUGUGAGGGGGCCCUCCAACUGUCUGUGACUCAUGCAUACUUAUCAGUAAUACAGUAUGGAGAGUCUCACUUGUGAAUCCUGGAUUAAACUUUUGAGGCUGAGUUUAAAUCUUGGAUUGACGUAUUAUAGCUCUAUCCGCUUUUAGGGACUGAUCUUGAAAUUUUAACUUAUAGCCCUUUGAAGCAAUAACAAAGAGACAAAUUCCUGUUUGAUUUCAAAGAUGGUAAUCACGAAAAGCAGGCAAUGCAAUUGUAUGGGACCAAAUCUGAAUUUUGCACUAACCUUUGCA